CGCGUAGGCGGCCUGAUAAGUAGGAGGUGAAAUCCUGGGGCUUAACCUCAGGGCUGCCUUCUAGACUGUCCGGCUCGAGCACAGUAGAGGCAGGUGGAAUUCCCGGUGUAGCGGUGGAAUGCGUAGAGAUCGGGAAGAACAUCGGUGGCGAAGGCGGCCUGCUGGGCUGUUGCUGACGCUGAGGCGCGACAGCGUGGGGAGCAAACA
rnacentral:rRNA from 1 species